AACUUCAUUUCUAACUGAGGGUUGUGGUCAAAACAUUUGGAAAACACUGUUCAGGAUGAUACAUCUACUUUGUCCCCUAUGUUGCCAGGCACAGAGCACCGUGAUGUAAGAGAAGCCUAGAUUGUGUGCAGUGUGAGAGCAGAGGUAUAUAGCCUGGGCUCUGACCAAGGUCAGAUGCCAGCAUCUCCACAGACUGAGCUGAGAAACGAGGUGCAACAGGGGAGCAGGAAGAUGGUGGCAGAUUGGGAGGACCCUAGGCUCACCUUGUCCCACGAACACAAUUAGAUAAAUAUCAAGUCAUCCUAAAUACCCCAGAAACCGACCUGAAGACUGACAGAACAAACUCUACAACUAAAGGUAGAGAAGAGGACACACUGAAGAAGGCUUGACCUGCAGACCAACUGGGAACACCCAUGGUUUGAAGAUCUCACUUGAGAAAUAACUAACUGCUGUAGAAGAUGGGGAGCCAUCAAGGAGAGUUAAAUGGGAGAGUGACAGAUGUCAAAGAAGAACUUCCCGUUUGCAGCAACACUACCUAGGAAAUAUCAAAACUGGUACGGCCACGGGCCAGGGGUUCUGGUCUGGACAGGAGAGGGUAGACUUGCCUCUCCCUGCUCUUCCCCGCAAAGUACAGCUCUUAACUCUGGAAACAAUGCAGGAGACGACCAGAGAACUCUGCAAGGUGGAAAAAGAAAGGUGAACUGGUAAAGACACCAGGGCUAGAGGAACGACAUAGAGGGAGGACAUUUUACAACCCCUCACCCAACUGAAGGAAGCUACCUGCACCCCGCAUUUUCCAGCCGCCACCCGAGCAGUAGAAGGCAGCCCAGGUGGAACAAGAGCUCUACCAACACCAGGUGAGGCAGUAGCCCCAGCAAAAGAUUGGUUGGGAACUCGCUGACACCAAGCAGUCCCCCACUGAGGCACCAGGUGGCUGGAGACUCCAGCAGAGGAAUCUCAACAUGACCAGCACCUGGUUCAGGAAGUCUCUUUGUUCACAUGCCUGCAGAGACCAGAGAGUCGGCCUGGAAUACUCUUUGGUCCCCUCAGGCAGCACCGGCUGGGACCAGCGGAGCCCCAGUGGCACCAGAUAAAUUAAGCACCCUAAAAUAAUAGCACAGAGUCUCUGAAAAUUAAAUUGUCAUUGGAACCACAGUCCAGAAAAGUAGGACAGGCCCACCUAGAAACCUUAAACGUGAACAGGGUGACUGCUUGCUAAAACAUAAGACUCAAAUAGGACCCAGAGCCUCCUAACAGACUAGCUGAAAUGUCCGGGAUACAAUAGAAAAUCAUCUGUUACACCAAGAGCCAGGCUGACACAACUCAAAUAGAAAAGACAGUCAACUGACCCAACACAGCGAUGAGUAGAUGUUAGAAUCUCUUGACAAGGAUUAAACAAACAUUUUUUUAAUGUUUCAUUUAUUUUUGAGAGAGACAGAGUGAGAGCGGGGGAGGGGCAGAGGAAGGGAGGGAGACACAGAAUCCGAAGCAGGCUCCAGGCUCUGAGCUGUCAGCACAGAACCUGAUGUGGGGCUCAAUCCCAUAAACUGUGAGAUUACGACCUGAGCUGAAGUUGGACACUUGACCGACUGAGCCACCCAGGCUCCCCUGGGAUGGUGCAGUCUUAGAUGAGCCCCAUGGUAACUCUGCGCGGUGGUUCAUCCACCUUAGGUUCUAGUUUCUCAUUCCGAUUUUAGACCUUCCACUCUCUUCCCUUAUGGUGGUUGUAAUUGUUUUCCAGUAAUACCUGUGGUCAAAAAGCAGUUAAAACUCUUAGGAAUAGAGGCAAAUGUGAUGUCUGCCAUCACUUUGAAAAUAUACAACUCGUCCUGGGAGACUGGUUAUUGCCUCUGAAACCAGACAUCAGAAGUCCCCAGUGCUGCCACUGGGGAGAUUGACUGCUUAUGUUCAGGUAAGAUCUAUGGAUAAACUCUUCCAGAUUGGACUAACAGAAAAACGGUAAGAAAAGUACAUUUCUUCUACCAUAAAAAUUUUCUUACAGUAGCAUAAUCUGAAAACAAUCUCUAAUUACUACCUUUAUUUUGCUAUAUUAAGCCAAGACACAAUAUAAAGGAAGAGAAAAUGAUUAGAUUAAAUGGCCUGUGUUGAAAAAAAAAAUGACCUAUGUUUUGUCAUUGAACUUAGCUCUUGACUGCCAUGGCUCUGGACUGCCCUUCAGGAAGGCAUUCUCUCUCA